rnacentral:rRNA from 1 species
GACGAACGCUGGCGGCGUGCUUAACACAUGCAAGUCGUACGGUAAGGCCCUUUCGGGGGUACACGAGUGGCGAACGGGUGAGUAACACGUGAGUAACCUGCCCACAACUUUGGGAUAACGCUAGGAAACUGGUGCUAAUACUGGAUAUGUGCUCCUGCUGCAUGGUGGGGGUUGGAAAGCUCCGGCGGUUGUGGAUGGACUCGCGGCCUAUCAGCUUGUUGGUGGGGUAGUAGCCUACCAAGGCGGCGACGGGUAGCCGGCCUGAGAGGGUGACCGGCCACAUUGGGACUGAGAUACGGCCCAGACUCCUACGGGAGGCAGCAGUGGGGAAUAUUGCACAAUGGGCGCAAGCCUGAUGCAGCAACGCCGCGUGCGGGAUGACGGCCUUCGGGUUGUAAACCGCUUUCAGCAGGGACGAAGCUUUUUGUGACGGUACCUGCAGAAGAAGCACCGGCUAACUACGUG